rnacentral:rRNA from 1 species
AAGAACGGUAGCGGGAGGCUUUAUACAUGAAAUUCAAAGGGUAAGUCCCUUUGGGGAUACCAGGAGGGGGAACGGGUGCGUAACGCGUAUACAACUUCCCCCAAUGGGGGGGAAUUAUGGGGAGAAAUCGGGUUUAAUCCCCCCAUCCUUUCUUAAAUAGGCAUCUUAUAAAAAAAAAAGUUCCGGCGCUAUGGGAUGGGUUUGCGUGACAUUAGUUAGAUGGUGAGGUAAAAGCUCACCAUGACGAUGAUGUCUAGCUGGUCUGAGAGGAUGAUCAGCCACACGGGCACUGAGACACGGGCCCGACUCCUACGGGAGGCAGCAGUAAGGAAUAUUGGUCAAUGGGGGCAACCCUGAACCAGCCAUGCCGCGUGAAGGAAGACGGUUCUCUGAAUUGUAAACUUCUUUUGCUAGGGACUAACCAUGAGCUAUACGCUCAUCUGCAGGUACCUAGAGAAUAAGCACCGGCUAACUACGUGCCAGCAGCCGCGGUAAUACGUAGGGUGCAAGCGUUGUCCGGAUUUAUUGGGUUUAAAGGGUGCGCAGGCGGUUUGUUAAGUUAGUGGUGAAAUCGUCCCGCUCAACGGGAUACCCGCCAUUGAUACUGGCAAACUUGAGUGUGACAGAGGAAUUUGGAAUGCGUGGUGUAGCGGUGAAAUGCAUAGAUAUCACGCAGAACACCUAUUGCGAAGGCAGAAUUCUAUGUCAUAACUGACGCUGAGGCACGAAAGCGUGGGUAGCGAACAGGAUUAGAUACCCUGGUAGUCCACGCCGUAAACGAUGAUUACUAGGUGUUCGGCCUUUUAGGCUGAGUGCCCAAGCGAAAGCGAUAAGUAAUCCACCUGGGGAGUACGUUGGCAACAAUGAAACUCAAAGGAAUUGACGGGGGCCCGCACAAGCGGUGGAGCAUGUGGUUUAAUUCGAUGAUACGCGAGGAGCCUUACCUGGGCUAUAAUGCCUCUGCUAUCUGCCGAAAGGUGGAGUUUCUUCGGAACAGAGUGCAAGGUGCUGCAUGGUUGUCGUCAGCUCGUGCCGUGAGGUGUUGGGUUAAGUCCCGCAACGAGCGCAACCCCUAUCUUUAGUUGCCAUCAGGUUAAGCUGGGGACUCUAAAGAGACUGCCUCCGCAAGGAGUGAGGAAGGCGGGGACGACGUCAAAUCAU